CACCGCGGUUAUACGAGAGACCCAAGUUGUUAGACAUCGGCGUAAAGAGUGGUUAAGAUUUAUAUAGGACUAAAGCCGAACGCCCUCAAAGCCGUUAUACGCAUCCGAAGGUAAGAAGCCCAACAACGAAAGUGGCUUUAUGUUAUCCGAAUCCACGAAAGCUAUGACA
rnacentral:rRNA from 1 species